rnacentral:ncRNA from 1 species
UACGAUAGAGGCGCGAACUUUAUCAGUAAUCUUUUUGAGCAAGACCAUGCACUGACAAAAGAUGAAAGGAAAAUUCGCCGAAGUAUAUUAUUGGUUAUAAAUAAUAUACUGGGCAUGCAGAGAAUAUUUGCAUGACUGUCACAAAUAUGUGGGGAGCUAUCU